rnacentral:snRNA from 1 species
GGACGUGAGGGCAAACUGACUGUGAUAUCUGUUACCGGGGUUGAUUUGAUGAUCUGGAUAUCUAGGUAGGGAUCCCCUGGGUCCCCUCCCUCUCUUACCACUCCAUGCAUGACCCUCCCAGUGCUUUGCCCUUGAUCUGCACGUGGCCUUUUCUGGAUAGAGGAGGACCGUCCAUCUUCAUCAAGGGUCUACGAGUAAUUGUCCCCCUCUGCUAGAACCUCCAGAUGAACUCUCAAGAAGCAUUUUUAGAGCAAACUACUUAGAAUCAGUCUGGUAUGAUAAAUUCCAGUAUUAUCCAAUAGGAAAAUCUUCCCUG